rnacentral:rRNA from 1 species
UACGAAGGGGGCUAGCGUUGCUCGGAAUCACUGGGCGUAAAGGGUGCGUAGGCGGGUUUUUAAGUCAGAGGUGAAAUCCUGGAGCUCAACUCCAGAACUGCCUUUGAUACUGAAAGUCUUGAGUAUGGGAGAGGUGAGUGGAACUGCGAGUGUAGAGGUGAAAAUUCGUAGAUAUUCGCAAGAACACCAGUGGCGAAGGCGGCUCACUGGCCCAUUCUGAC